UAUAAAAAUCCAGCAGUGGACGGUGGCACGCUGAAAUGUAAGGUGUUGGGGGGGAGAAGGAGGAAUGAUAGGCAAUUGAGCGGAGUUAUUGGAGAGCAACAGUGCAUGCCUUGACUUCAGAUGGAUGUAGUAGUGAAGUCGAGCCCCAAGGCUGUGAGUAUGCUGUCUGGGAGGAGUGAGAUUAACUAAUGCAGCUCAGUGACAUCAUCCCUGCCAGAUGUCUCAGAGGUACGCACCGGUGACUGAGGAAUGGCAGGGAAACGAAUAAAAAUGGAAUCAAAUGCAACCCUGGAAAAAAAAAAAAAAAGCUCAUCAGCAGUCUGGUGGCUGUGACACGCAGAAGCACGAUCCCCUUUCACCCUGCACAUUUGAGCUGGGAGCCAAGGUUUUCAAUGCCGGUGACCCCUGUGACCUCUGGGCUGGCUCUUACUGGCCUCCGAGCGUCCAGCUGUUCAUCCGGCCGGGCUGCCACGCUAGAACUGGGCUUUCCAGAGGCAAGAGGAGCAGCGCCCCGCACUGCCUAAGACGUGACCUCCCCCACCCUCGGCUGCGGCCACAACACCACAUGAUUAUUACGAGUGUUUCCCACAUGAGCGUUAGAGCGUGACAGGAAGAACAGAGAGGAAGGUGGAAAAAGGAUCGGCAUGCAUGCAUGAAAAAGACUUUCACAAGACAGGAUGAAUGGAAGGAGAUGCUUGAAAUAUAUUCCAUGUUGGCCUGUGAUAGACUCCGCCUCUCGCCUAACGUUAGCUGGGCUAAACUCAAAGUGCGAACCCAAUCUCUCACUUUUGUCCUCUGUCAGUUUUACCGUCCUCUGUUUCUGUCUGUCUCCUGUUUUGCAAAAACAUAUCAUCCAUCUGAGACACGCAGCUUUGUUUGUUUACCUACGAAAGAGCAUCGCCCCAGGCUUCUCGCUCAUUAAAGCAUCUAAACAAAGACAACAGCGACUCGAGAAAGCUUUUAAAAAUGCUUAGAACUCUGUAUGGAAGUAUGUGUGCCUGUCACGUGUGUUCAGGAUGAAAGCCUCUGAGGACUGCCCAUUGACAAUGAAAUGAGAAGAUCUCCCUUCACCUUCAGACACGGGAAAAAAGUGGAGCUUGACAUUGCCCCAGGCGCUAAACCUUGGGAGCCAACAGUGGUAUUUCCAAAGAGUGUGAUUAUUAUUUUCCAUCUGUGUGUGAUUUUUGUUUUUUUAAUAAAAUGCCCUUGCAUCAUUCGGUAUAAUGUUGUACACAAAUCGGAUUCGGUAAACUCCAUAAGGACGAGGAUGACUUAUUAAAGUUGUGAUAAAACGAGAGAACCUUUUCCAUACUUUUGGCCAAGAGUCAUAACUUUUUUUUUCAUUCAACAGAUUUGAAUAUGAAUGUGUGUGUGAAAUUGUGUUGUAUAUAGUAAAUGUGCAUAUGGUUCUUAUGUCUGUCAGUGUUUUGUGUGUGUG